rnacentral:rRNA from 1 species
GACGAACGCUGGCGGCGUGCCUAAUACAUGCAAGUCGAACGCAGUGGGGACGGGUGAGUAACACGUGGGUAACCUCCCAUCAGAGGGGAUAACACUUGGAAACAGGUGCUAAACCGAUACUGAUGGAUGAACCCGCGGUGCAUUAGCUAGUUGGUGAGGUAACGGCUCACCAAGGCCACGAUGGAGAGCGGAGCGGAGAGGGGGAGCGGCCACAGGGGGAAUGAGACAUGGGCCAGAUUCCUACGGGAGGCAGCAGGGGGGAAUAUUCGGCAAUGGACGAAAUUAUGACCUAGGAACGCCGAGUGAGGGAAGAAGGUUUUCGGAGCGUAAAACUCUGUUGUAAGAGAAGCGGUAUCUUACCAGAAAGCCACGGCUAACUACGUGCCAGCCGCCGCGGGAAUAC